UACAGAGGGGGCAAGCGUUGUUCGGAAUUACUGGGCGUAAAGGGCGCGUAGGCGGCCUGUUAAGUCGGACGUGAAAUCCCUCGGCUCAACCGGGGAACUGCGUCCGAUACUGGCGGGCUUGAAUUCGGGAGAGGGAUGUGGAAUUCCAGGUGUAGCGGUGAAAUGCGCAGAUAUCAGGAGGAACCCCGGUGGCGAAGGCGGGUCUCUGGGCCGAUACUGACGCUGAGGAGCGAAAGCGUGGGGAGCGAACAGG
rnacentral:rRNA from 1 species